UACUUAUUGGAGUACACAAUCAAAACAGAACAAAGUCAGCUGAUCGUAAAUUGCAUUAGAUGCAAAUUUGAUGCUGCUAAUUGGAAUGCAUAAAUAUAAAAAGUCUUUUUAUAAAUAUAGCUGCUGCAAAGCAAAAUGAAAGGGAGCGCAAAUAUUGAAGACAAUUGAAUUGCAUAGAUUGCAAACUGACUGGCAAAGUACAUCCACUGCAGCAAGGAGGAUUAGCCAAGUGGGCUCCGCAGCCAAUAGGGCAUGAAUUUAAGUUAG